CUUAAGCAUAUCCAAUUUUUUAUUUUUUAUUUUUGUGAGGAAGUUGGCCCUGAGCUAACACCCAUUGCCGAUCUUCCUCUUUUUGCUUGAGGAAGAUUGUUGCUGAGCUAACAUCUGUGCCUAUCUUCCUCUAUUUUAUGUGGGAUGCUGCCACAGCAUGGCUUGGCGAGCAGUGCUAGGUCCGCACCUGGGAUCCAAACCUAUGAACUCUGGGCCACCGAAGCAGAGUGCACGAACUUAACCACUACACCACUGGGCUAGCCCCCCAAUUUUUAAUUUUGGGGUGGAUAUACUAAAAUUUCUCUAACAAGGCACAGUUAACAUCUGCUAAAGAGUGGAGAUUCCAGAGAAAAAGUAAGAGAGGUUGAGUCUGCGCCAGGGACAUGAAGGAAAUAAGCUGCCUGGGAACCAAGAACAGAGGAUGGAAGGGUGGCUGCAACAUGCAGAGCUACUCUUGUUGAAGACUAUACCCAAACUCUUCACAGAACCUCAGGACUUAGAGGAACACAACACAAAAAAAUCACCAGCACAAGAUACAUCAGAAAGGAUUUCGCAAGGCAAAACACAACUGACUACAAUAACUAGAACAGAUGAAGUGCUCUGAGAUUAGAGAAAUGAAAGCCCACAGGAUGCUGGAGUCCUCUGCGAAGUCUACAGUGGGUAAGGAAAAAUAAGUAGAAGGGUGGAAAGCCUUCUGCGUAGGGAGAAAUAACAGAAGCAAAAAAGUAGGCAAGUGGAAUAUAUCCUUUGAGACACCGUAGCUUACUCUCUAUUUUAGCUAGAGCUUGAGGUAUGUAUGGAUGAGCAAUAAUUGAUGGAGCUGUAUUCUGUCUGUUCGGCAAAGGGAGGAACUGAAGGUUUUUAAGACUUGUAGGACAGAGUGGGACUGUAGGUUGAAUAACAAUUUCAAAAGGAUUUAAAAAUCUUUAGGCAGAGGAUAAGGAUUCCAACCAGGAGUGAUAGAAAUGGGAAGAAAGGUAUCAGGACAUGUUUAACUUUGAAAAGGACAUAGCCACAGGGCUUAACAAGUGGAAAUGAAAAAUAAUUUAGUGGAAAUACGAGAAGCUUAGGGAAAAUAUAAAAUCACAAUUGGCUGAAAUCAGAAGUGUUCUUCAAGUGAAACAGGAAUCUAUUAAAACGUGAGAGGCUCUCCUUUUGUAACGAAAUUUUUGAGUUUACAGACUACUUGGAGAAAAUCACAGGAAUUGAAUAAUUGUUCACCCAUAAAUUUAAGUUAAUGAGAACCUAUGAUGACUUGAGAAUGUCUUAUAACAGUAGUCUCUUUGAUG
rnacentral:lncRNA from 1 species